UACAGAGGGGCAAGCGUUAUUCGGAAUUAUUGGGCGUAAAGGGCGCGUAGGCGGCCUGACAAGUGGAUGGUGAAAUCCCUCGGCUUAACCGAGGAACUGCCAUCCAGACUGUUUGGCUUGAGACCGGGAGAGGUGAGUGGAAUUCCCAGUGUAGCGGUGAAAUGCGUAGAUAUUGGGAGGAACACCAGUGGCGAAGGCGGACUCACUGGCCCGGUACUGACGCUGAGGUGCGAAAGCGAUGGGGAGCAAAGCAGGGAUUAAGAUGAACCCUGG
rnacentral:rRNA from 1 species